UACGUAGGGUGCGAGCGUUAAUCGGAAUUACUGGGCGUAAAGCGUGCGCAGGCGGUUAUGUAAGACAGAUGUGAAAUCCCCGGGCUCAACCUGGGAACUGCAUUUGUGACUGCAUGGCUAGAGUACGGUAGAGGGGGAUGGAAUUCCGCGUGUAGCAGUGAAAUGCGUAGAUAUGCGGAGGAACACCGAUGGCGAAGGCAAUCCCCUGGACCUGUACUGACGCUCAUGCACGAAAGCGUGGGGAGCAAACAGGAUUAGAAACCCUGGUAGUCCGUAGCCAGAUACCCUUGU
rnacentral:rRNA from 1 species